rnacentral:rRNA from 1 species
GAGCGGAGGAUGCAAGCGUUAUCCGGAAUUAUUGGGCGUAAAGCGUCCGCAGGUGGACAUACAAGUCUGCUGUCAAAGUGCAGAGCUUAACUCUGUAAAGGCGGUGGAAACUGUAGGUCUUGAGUAUGGUAGGGGUAGAGGGAAUUCCCGGUGUAGCGGUGAAAUGCGUAGAUAUCGGGAAGAACACCAGUGGCGAAAGCGCUCUACUGGGCCAUAACUGACACUGAGGGACGAAAGCUAGGGGAGCGAAAGGG